GACGAACGCUGGCGGCGUGCUUAACACAUGCAAGUCGAACGGAAAGGCCCUGCUUUUGUGGGGUGCUCGAGUGGCGAACGGGUGAGUAACACGUGAGUAACCUGCCCUUGACUUUGGGAUAACUUCAGGAAACUGGGGCUAAUACCGGAUAGGAGCUCCUGCUGCAUGGUGGGGGUUGGAAAGUUUCGGCGGUUGGGGAUGGACUCGCGGCUUAUCAGCUUGUUGGUGGGGUAGUGGCUUACCAAGGCUUUGACGGGUAGCCGGCCUGAGAGGGUGACCGGCCACAUUGGGACUAAGAUACGGCCCAGACUCCUACGGGAGGCAGCAGUGGGGAAUAUUGCGCAAUGGGCGGAAGCCUGAUGCAGCAACGCCGCGUGCGGGAUGACGGCCUUCGGGUUGUAAACCGCUUUCGCCUGUGACGAAGCGUGAGUGACGGUAAUGGGUAAAGAAGCACCGGCUAACUACGUG
rnacentral:rRNA from 1 species